UACGUAGGGGGCAAGCGUUGUCCGGAUUUAUUGGGCGUAAAGAGCGUGUAGGCGGCCAGAUAGGUCAGCUGUGAAAACUCGAGGCUCAACCUCGAGAUGUCGGCUGAAACCAUCUGGCUAGAGUCCGGAAGAGGAGAAUGGAAUUCCCGGUGUAGCGGUGAAAUGCGCAGAUAUCGGGAAGAACACCUGUGGCGAAGGCGGCUCUCUGGGACGGUACUGACGCUGAGACGCGAAAGCGUGGGGGAGCAAACAGG
rnacentral:rRNA from 1 species